UUACGACCAUAUCACGCUGUGGCAAUGGUUCCCGUACGAUCACCAAAGUUAAGCAACGUCGAAACUGGUCAGUACCUAGAUGAGUGACCACUUGAGAAUACCAGGUGCUGUAAG